rnacentral:rRNA from 1 species
GACGAACGCUGGCGGCGUGCUUAACACAUGCAAGUCGAACGGAAAGGCCCUGCUUUUGUGGGGUGCUCGAGUGGCGAACGGGUGAGUAACACGUGAGUAACCUGCCCUUGACUUUGGGAUAACUUCAGGAAACUGGGGCUAAUACCGUAUAGGAGCUCCUGCUGCAUGGAGGGGGUUGGAAAGUUUCGGCGGUCGGGGAUGGACUCGCGGCUUAUCAGCUUGUUGGUGGGGUAGUGGCUUACCAAGGCAUUGACGGGUAGCCGGCCUGAGAGGGUGACCGGCCACAUUGGGACUGAGAUACGGCCCAGACUCCUACGGGAGGCAGCAGUGGGGAAUAUUGCACAAUGGGCGGAAGCCUGAUGCAGCAACGCCGCGUGCGGGAUGACGGCCUUCGGGUUGUAAACCGCUUUCGCCUGUGACGAAGCGUGAGUGACGGUAAUGAGUAAAGAAGCACCGGCUAACUACGUG